rnacentral:rRNA from 1 species
GGCGUGCCUAACACAUGCAAGUCGAACGAGAAAGUGGAGCAAUCCAUGAGUACAGUGGCGUACGGGUGAGUAACACGUGACUAACCUACCCUCGAGUGGGGAAUAACUUCGGGAAACCGAGGCUAAUACCGCAUAACAUCUACGGAUCAAAUGCGCAAGCAGCUUGAGGAGGGGGUCGCGGCUGAUUAGCUAGUUGGCGGGGUAACGGCCCACCAAGGCAAUGAUCAGUAGCCGGCCUGAGAGGGCGCACGGCCACACUGGAACUGAAACACGGUCCAGACUCCUACGGGAGGCAGCAGUGGGGAAUUUUGCGCAAUGGGGGAAACCCUGACGCAGCAACGCCGCGUGGAGGAUGAAGCCCCUUGGGGUGUAAACUCCUUUCGAUCGGGACGAUUAUGACGGUACCGGAUGAAGAAGCACCGGCUAACUCUGUGCCAGCAGCCGCGGUAAUACAGAGGGCGCAAGCGUUGUUCGGAAUUAUUGGGCGUAAAGGGUGCGUAUGCCGUGCGGUAAGUCUUCUGUGAAA